rnacentral:rRNA from 1 species
CGUAACCUACGGGGCGCAGCAGUGGGGAAUAUUGCACAAUGGGGGAAACCCUGAUGCAGCGACGCCGCGUGAGUGAAGAAGUACCCCGGUACGUAAAUCUCUAUCAGCAGGGAAGAAAAUGACGGUACCUGACCAAGAAGCCCCGGCUAACUACGUGCCAGCAGCCGCGCUAAUACGUAGGGGGCAAGCGUUAUCCGGAUUUACUGGGUGUAAAGGGAGCGUAGACGGCAGCGCAAGUCUGGAGUGAAAUCCUGGGGCU